UACAGAGGUGGCAAGCGUUGUUCGGAAUUACUGGGCGUAAAGGGCGCGUAGGCGGCCUUCUAAGUCAGACGUGAAAUCCCCCGGCUUAACCUGGGAACUGCGUCUGAUACUGGGAGGCUCGAGUAUGGGAGAGGGAUGUAGAAUUCCAGGUGUAGCGGUGAAAUGCGUAGAUAUCUGGAGGAAUACCGGUGGCGAAGGCGGCAUCCUGGACCAUUACUGACGCUGAAUCGCGAAAGCUAGGGGAGCAAACGGG
rnacentral:rRNA from 1 species